rnacentral:tRNA from 1 species
AAAGUUAUAGGUUAAGAUAAACUGUGGGCCUUCAAAGCCCGAGAUGAUGUAGUUACUCUGACUUUG